rnacentral:rRNA from 1 species
CAGCCGCCGCGGUAAUACGGAGGGUGCAAGCGUUAUCCGGAUUUAUUGGGUUUAAAGGGUCCGUAGGCGGAUCUGUAAGUCAGUGGUGAAAUCUCACAGCUUAACUGUGAAACUGCCAUUGAUACUGCAGGUCUUGAGUAAAUUUGAAGUGGCUGGAAUAAGUAGUGUAGCGGUGAAAUGCAUAGAUAUUACUUAGAACACCAAUUGCGAAGGCAGGUCACUAAGAUUUAACUGACGCUGAUGGACGAAAGCGUUGGGAGCGAACAGGAUUAGAUACCCCCGUAGUCCCUGUCUCUUAUAC